rnacentral:rRNA from 1 species
UACAGAGGUCUCAACCGUUGUUCGGAUUCAUUGGGCGUAAAGGGUGCGUAGGCGGCGGGGUAAGUCAGGUGUGAAAUCUCGGGGCUCAACCCCGAAACUGCACUUGAUACUGCCUCGCUUGAGUACUGGAGAGGAGACUGGAAUUUACGGUGUAGCAGUGAAAUGCGUAGAUAGUCGUAAGGAAGACCAGUGGCGAAGGCGAGUCUCUGGACAGUUACUGACGCUGAGGCACGAAGGCCAGGGGAGCAAACGGG